rnacentral:rRNA from 1 species
GAUCCCAAGUCAUGCGGGACUACCCGAUGAGUUUAAGCAUAUCAAUAAGCGGAGAAAAAGAAACUUACAAGGAUUCCUCUAGUAACGGCGA